rnacentral:rRNA from 1 species
GAUGAACGCUGGCGGCGUGCUUAACACAUGCAAGUCGAACGAUUAAAGCCCCUUCGGGGGUGUAUAGAGUGGCGAACGGGUGAGUAACACGUGGGUAACCUGCCCUAUGCUUUGGGAUAACUCAGGGAAACUUGAGCUAAUACCGAAUACUCCGGACUGAUCGCAUGGUCGGUCCGGGAAAGUUCGCGGCGGCAUAGGAUGGACCCGCGGCCCAUUAGCUUGUUGAUGGGGUAAUGGCCUACCAAGGCGACGAUGGGUAGCCGCGCUGAGAGGCGGAUCGGCCACACUGGGACUGAGACACGGCCCAGACUCCUACGGGAGGCAGCAGUGGGGAAUUUUGCGCAAUGGGCGAAAGCCCGACGCAGCAACGCCGCGUGCGGGAUGAAGGCCUUCGGGUUGUAAACCGCUUUCAGCAGGGAUGAAACUGACAGUACCUGCAGAAGAAGCCCCGGCUAACUACGUGCCAGCAGCCGCCGUAAGAC